rfam:Hordeum vulgare subsp. vulgare, WGS project CAJW01000000 data, contig: morex_contig_2395225
UAAUAGGUUGUUCUAACAACUACUAAUUCUGACAAAACAAAGGAUG